ACGUGAUUGCGUAAUCAAUGUUGCGGUUGUUCGUUGCCGUGGAUACAGCCCAACAUUCACAAAUACACCGAAGAAAGUGAAACCUGUUCAUUAUACUCAGACUGAGGAUGGCAGAAACUGAUCUAAGAAAUUAUGAGUUAUCCCAACUGCAAGCCGAAGUCGAGCAGGAGAGAGAGGUCAAGGAGAUGUUAAAGGACUCCGUGUCUGACCUGAGGAGCACACUAUCUGAUUUGGAGAAGAGACUUCACAGUGUUGACGGAGAAGAGAACGAGUGGAGAACCAGAUAUGAGACACAGCUGGAACUGAACGAGCAGCUGGAGAAACAAAUCAGUGUCGUUCAAGAGAGACUGGAGACGCUCCGCGGUGACCCCUCAGAUCGACUGGCUUCUAUUCGCUCAUAUGAUGAAAUGUCAGAGGAUGCUCUCAGACAGAGGCUGAAAUUGCUGUCUACAGAGAAGUGCGGCCUUCAAUCCCAACUGAAGGACUUCCAAAUAAGAAUUGUGCAGGAAGGAAAGGCUUACCAGAAAGUCUACGAAGAGAGGCGGGCGUAUCUUGCAGAGAUCGCAAAGCUGUCUUCAACGCUGGAUAUGAGCAGAAAGCAGCAGAUGGUUCAAGCCCGGAGGAAAGCCCUGGGUCCAGACAAAACGUAAAUGUGAAAACGCACUGUACAUCUUCAAAUGAUACCACUUUGGUUCAUAGGAAACAAUGCCAGCAGAGGCCAGGAGAGUAUGAGGCAACAUUCAAGUAUGAUGAAGGGAUCUGUCAAAAAAGCACCAGCAAGCAGUCGAC